UACGUAGGGCCCGAGCGUUAUCCGGUAUUAUUGGGCGUAAAGAGUACGUAGGCGGUUAGAAAAGACAAUGGUUAAAGCUCCGAGCUCAACUCGGAAAUCGCCGUUGUGACUCUCUGACUAGUCGGUAGCAGGGGCAAGCGGAAUUGUCGGUGUAGGAGUGAAAUCCGUUGAGAUCGACAAGAACACCAAUGGCGAAGGCAGCUUGCUAGGCUACUUGAGACGCUGAGGUACGAAAGCGUGGGGAGCGAACGGG
rnacentral:rRNA from 1 species